rnacentral:rRNA from 1 species
UACGAAGGGUUCAAGCGUUAAUCGGAAUUACUGGGCGUAAAGCGUGCGCAGGCGGUUGUGUAAGACAGAUGUGAAAUCCCCGGGCUCAACCUGGGAACUGCAUUUGUGACUGCACAGCUGGAGUGCGGCAGAGGGGGAUGGAAUUCCGCGUGUAGCAGUGAAAUGCGUAGAUAUGCGGAGGAACACCGAUGGCGAAGGCAAUCCCCUGGGCCUGCACUGACGCUCAUGCACGAAAGCGUGGGGAGCAAACAGG